GUAAAGUGAUACAUGCCACAUGAGAAGUGGAGUAUCAACAAACAGUCUUUAUGAAUCACAAUGCCCAGAAGUAAACCACUUCCCUUAUUUGCUGGUAUAUCAGGUCAUGGUGAUUCACUGAGGGAGGGGUUUCAGGUCAGCACCAAAAGAAUUGGAUUCACAGGUUCUGAAGAAAGAUGUUCCCAAGGAAGAGAAGCAUUAGACCACCGUGUAAUUCCUUCAAUUUUGUAGAAGGUGCUCGAACAAAUAAUAUCUAACAUUGUAUGUGUAUUGUGAUAAUAAUAGUUGUAGGUUUCUGAUCAAAAAUAUCCAUAUCCAAAAUGUAGAAUCACCUUGUUUUCUGAGGGUUUUGCCAAGCAUGCUUCAUUGAGUUCAUUCACACCAUCA